rnacentral:rRNA from 1 species
GAACGAACGCUGGCGGCGCGUUUAAGCAUGCAAGUCGAGCGGCAAGGGCCUUCGGGCCCUAGAGCGGCGGACGGGUGAGUAACACGUGGACAAUCUGCCCCCCGGCCCGGGAUAGCCCAGGGAAACCUGGAUUAAUACCGGAUGAGACGGGACCCGCGAUGGCGGGACCCGGGAAAGGCGCUGCGGCGCCGCCGGGGGAUGAGUCUGCGUCCCAUUAGCUAGACGGCGGGGUAACGGCCCACCGUGGCGACGAUGGGUAGCCGGCCUGAGAGGGUGGACGGCCACAUUGGAACUGAGACACGGUCCAGACUCCUACGGGAGGCAGCAGCUAAGAAUCUUCCGCAAUGGGCGAAAGCCUGACGGAGCCGACGCCGCGUGAACGAAGAAGGCCGUGAGGUUGUAAAGUUCUUUUCGGGAGGGGGAACAACCGUGGCAGGGAAUGGCCGCGGGAUGACGUGAAUCCUGGAAUAAGCCCCGGCUAACUACGUGCCAGCCGCCGC